rnacentral:lncRNA from 1 species
CUACAUUUAUGGUAUAUUUUGUCUUUCAUCUUUUUCUUUUUAGGAAAUUUGAACAUCAGGUGCAUACAAGAUGUAAAAUUGCAAUGAAUAUGAAGAUCUGUGAUUUUGCAAGCAAGUAUUGUGUAAUGCAUAUGUCCACACUCCCUACCCAGAAGAAAGUCUGAAACAGAAUAUAUCACUGAAACCUCUGUGAAACC